CAAGCGGUGGAGCAUGUGGUUUAAUUCGAUGCAACGCGAAGAACCUUACCUGGUCUUGACAUCCACGGAAGUUUUCAGAGAUGAGAAUGUGCCUUCGGGAACCGUGAGACAGGUGCUGCAUGGCUGUCGUCAGCUCGUGUUGUGAAAUGUUGGGUUAAGUCCCGCAACGAGCGCAACCCUUAUCCUUUGUUUCCAGCGGUCCGGCCGGGAACUCAAAGGAGACUGCCAGUGAUAAACUGGAGGAAGGUGGGGAUGACGUCAAGUCAUCAUGGCCCUUACGACCAGGGCUACACACGUGCUACAAUGGCGCAUACAAAGAGAAGCGACCUCGCGAGAGCAAGCGGACCUCAUAAAGUGCGUCGUAGUCCGGAUUGGAGUCUGCAACUCGACUCCAUGAAGUCGGAAUCGCUAGUAAUCGUGGAUCAGAAUGCCACAGUGAAUACGUUCCCGGGCCUUGUACACACC
rnacentral:rRNA from 1 species